UACGUAGGGCGCAAGCGUUAUCCGGAAUUAUUGGGCGUAAAGAGCUCGUAGGCGGUUUGUCGCGUCUGCCGUGAAAGUCCGGGGCUCAACUCCGGAUCUGCGGUGGGUACGGGCAGACUAGAGUGAUGUAGGGGAGACUGGAAUUCCUGGUGUAGCGGUGAAAUGCGCAGAUAUCAGGAGGAACACCCGUGGCGAAGGCGGCUCUCUGGGACGGUACUGACGCUGAGACGCGAAAGCGUGGGGAGCGAACAGG
rnacentral:rRNA from 1 species